AUGUCUCUUGAGAUGUCUUCGGUUGUCCGUUAUGGAGAUCCCUAUGCAGAUCAGGGGGACAACAGGAAACUUCGCGGGAGACAGAGUAGACGAGGCCUCUCGGAGCCGCGUUUCCCAUGGAGAGGGGUCUGUCCAGGUGCAGGCGCGGGAGGCGGGGCCCGGCGGGGGCUCCGGCCACUCUGCUGUCCCUGGCCUGCAGCCACCCGACCCUCCCUUGGCACGCCGGCCUCCUUCGUGUCCUGCCGAUCUCGGCUCGGACGUCCCUUCCGCUCCCCCAGCCACCGCCGCCCGUCACCGUCCAUCGCCCGAGCAUUCGCACCCUCCUCACCCGUCGGCCCUCCAGGAACGUGCCUUCCACAGAAGGGGCCCCGCCUGCCGUGCUCACGGCUGGGUCCUGGCUCGCGGAGGGGCGCCGACCUAACCAUCCUCACCGCGGCAGGCCCUCGACCUCCGCAUUGCCGCAGAGCGCAGCCAGCGAUCAGGCCCGGACGACACGAGCAGGGAGCGCCAGCGGGGCCCAUCCGCGGCACCGUUGCCGCUUUAAGGGCCGGGCCGGGGCGCACGCGCAGUCGGGCCAAGGCGUGCGCAGGCGCAGUGGGGGCGGCGGGUGUUUACGGCGGCGAGGUUGGAGCGGCGAGGGGGCCGCGGACGGCAAGGGGCCGAGGAGCUGCAGGCCGCGGCCGGGCGGCCCGAGGUAGAGCCGCCGCUUCCGCCCCGUGCCCCGCGCCGCUCGCCACCCCCGCCCGGCGCUGGCGCCUGGAGCCCCCCUCACCGCUCCCCUCCCCCCACUCCCUCCCCGCAUCCCCCUCUCGUCCCCCUCUCGUCCUCCCUCCCCGGGAGGCCAGUCUUCCCCGCGCGCCCGCCCGGCCGGGCGACCCCCUGGGCGCUGCCUGCCUGGGACCUGCAGCCCUGGCUUUCCAAGCGGGAACACUUGCAGUUGGUCCCGAGCGAGUCGCGUUCCGAGGUCUCACAGCGUCUGCCCUGGGCCUUUGCAGGGGCGGCAGGCUGUGCAGGAGGAGUUGGCCCUCCCGAGCUGGCGCGGAGCGCUGGGCUUGGGUCUCAAGCGGUGGGGCCGCACUGGCGUGGCGUCUGUGUCUUGUUUGCUUUUGCACAGGAUGCGGCCCUGCAGUUGAUGUUUGCGCCUCGAAAAAGUCAUUUAAAUCUCUGCCUUUCCCCUUUGCUGCGGUGCCUGUGUGUGUUUUCUUUGUUCUUUUUGACAAAGGAGUGAGUAGACUCGUUCAAGAAUUAGUGAAGGCAUUCUCCUUUAAACAGCUCAGAGCUUGCAGCUCUGCUUUUGGGGGGACGCUUAGGGAGAGGGGGCCUCAGAGGCGGCGGCUUUCAGCGCCUGAGGCCGGUGCCUAG
rnacentral:lncRNA from 1 species